rnacentral:misc_RNA from 1 species
GACGAACCGUCCAAACGUUAUUCGGAAUUAUUGGGCUUAAAGGGUGCGUAGGCGGUGCGGGAAGUGAGGGGUGAAAUCCCUCGGCUCAACCGAGGAAUUGCGCUUCAUACUGCCGUGCUGGAGGGCGACAGGGGUAAGCGGAACUGAUGGUGGAGCGGUGAAAUGCGUUGAUAUCAUCAGGAACACCGGUGGCGAAAGCGGCUUACUGGGUCUCUUCUGACGCUGAGGCACGAAAGCUAGGGUAGCGAACGGG